ensembl:snRNA U6 U6 spliceosomal RNA
GUGCUUGCCUCAACAGCACAUAUACUAAAAUUGGAACGAUACAGAGAAGAUUAGCAUGACACCUGCACAAGGAUGACAUGCAAAUUCAUGAAGCAUUCCAUUUAGAA